rnacentral:lncRNA from 1 species
AGGAUGCUGCGAGGCGUUGCCAGCGGAGGGAACCUGCCGCCGCCUCGUCCCCCUCCACCCUCGGAGCCCGGCCGGGGAGUCGGGCCCGGGCCGGGGAGGAGGAAGUUGCGGCCCAGCUGGGACAGCAGCAGGUGGGAAGCUCCGCGCCCGGCUGUUGCGGCUGCCUGAUUGCAGCCUGGCCUUGGGCAAAGCUUCCUACUCCGUCUGGAGCCCCACACACUUCCCGGUUCCCCCGCUCUUGGGCCGCUUGCCCUGCGUGCUCCUCGAGGGGCCUGCGAGGUGCCAGCGCCGGGUAGAGACCUUUGCCGCAGGGGCAGGAUUGUUCGUCGGUCCCGGCGCGUCUCCCUCUCCACUCCCUCUCUGCCGGAGCCCCUCGGCCCUUCGAAGCCCCCCGCGGAGGCUGCAGCGCCCGGAGAAGCCACUGAGUCAAUGGGGCGAGGGACUGGGGCGGGCGCGCAGAGCCCCCAGGAUUGAGACGCGCGCAAGUGCGGCCACUGCAGCGCCGCUUGGCUGUUUGUUCUCCCGACUGUUCGCGAAUUACUUACAAGGCGCCUAGGCUUCUCCGAAGGGUGGACGGCUCGUUCCCUCUCGCCUUGUCCGCCCUCAGUCUCUCCACCACCGCCCGGCACGCUUUGCUGAUCUAAAAUCAGAACAAUUAGAGAGUAAUGAUUUUUUUUGGAAUAGCAACUCCUACAGACACUCAGAUCUGCCCUCGCUUCAGCGCCUCCCAGCCCUCCUUCCCAGCAGCCAGGCGAGAGCGCGCAGACCCCUAAAAAGCAACUUCAGUGUUAACCGGGUCUGGAUCCUGGAACUUUAUAAACUAAUCCGUGUGUGUGUGUGUGUGUGUGUGUGUAAACCGAAGAGUAAGUGCCUAUUAUUUCUGAGUACUUCGGUGUCCUAACGAAGCUUUGCUCCUAAAGGACAGGAUAUAUUUUAGGAGUCUUUCUUUCCACUGAGUUUUUUAAAUGUUUAUUUUCUCGAGCGAUCAAAUGUGUCUUUUGUGCAGUUUAUUUAAACCUCGUAAGGCCUCCUUGAGUCGCUGAACUAAUUCAGCAAACUAGCUGGUAUUGUGGACGGCGCAGUCGGGGUGGAUUUUUGUGUGUAGGAGAGGUGAAACUGACAAUUCAAGGAAAGGUUCUGUGCGAGUCCCCACCUCCCAUCCUCAUAUCCACACGUGGCCCCUAGGAGGUGCUGGUGAAAUAUGCUUGCUUAGGUUUCGCAGAUCCGCACUUACUCCUGCCUUAACAAGUGUGCCUUUUUUCUUAGCACUGAGCAAGGUACUUAAAUUAAAAGGGUGUGCAAGAGAUGAUGCACUCGGUGUGGCUGCUCUGAUAGCCAAAUGGCGAUGUGGUCCCAGUUAAUGUGUUGAGAUUAUACUGUUCACCAAGCCCUGUUACGAACUCUGUUGCCAUGCACGUGGGAAUAAUGCCUGCCCCAAGGGAGGUCUUCUUUAACAUCUAUUUAGUCAUGUGUUAUUUAUAAACAGCUUGAAUUAAUACUGUAAAAUAGACGGAUGUCUAAGAAUCUAGGCUGUAGCCUAAAGCUAAAUGAACCUGAGGGUAGACAAGUUCACUCUGUAUUAACCAAAGGAUAAUGAAUGAGUUCACCGCUCAGUUCAAUAAGCUUCUUCUGAAAUAUGCUUCCUCCUGGACUUCUAAGAAACAGGCCAAAAGUUUAAUUAUCCCUUAAAACAUGUUAAGCCUAAAUAGAAAAAGGAAAUUAAUCAUUUAUAGAUUUUCUCUUCUUUAUUAUGAUUCAGUUGGUGCAUCUGUAGAUGGCUAAGAAUUUUCCAAACCACGUGAAUUCAGAGAGGCAACACUUUUGUUGUUGUUGUUUUUCCAGGUAAUGAGCUCGCUUUGAAAACCAGUCACUCGGAAAGGGAUGGCAUUUUUAUGCAACUUGGAUUGAAAUGGUUUUGCUUUAGUAUUCUACUCUAAUUAGAAAGAAUACACCACAGGCCGAAAUAGUUUCAUAUGAUAGGAAAAUCUUUAAAGAAAGGAACACAGAGUUAUUAGAUUAUGGUUGGCUGUAUAAAUUUAGCUGGGCAGCGGGAGGAAGGUCAUAAUAAAUGUAUCCUGCUCUCUCUCAUCAAUUAUCAGCAGCACAUCCCCCAACAUUCUCUCCUCCCAAAGACUGAAGGAUGUGCAGCAAAGCUUAGAUCUUGAAGGAGAAGGUUCGGGAAAAAUUAAUGAUUUUAAUUAGAACUUUCCAAUCUAAGUAGAAUCAUUACCUUAAUUAGCUAAAUAAGGAAGUAUGAAGGAUGAAAUUUUGCAAAUGAAAUUUUGUAAAUGUAUGGUAGCGUAGAAUACCCCCAUUGCUUCAUUUUAAAAAAAGAAAAUAUAAAUGCAUUUUAAUUAAUAAAUGACUUUUCAUCAUGUCCCUAUUAGGAAAAUUCUGUGUGCCAAUGCUUUCAGUGUUUGAUUUAAUACAUCUUUUGAAGUGAUGCGUGAUGCAGAUUUCUGUAUUCAGAGUCUAUCUUUUUUGGCUGAAUCAGGCCUUAUUUAGCAAAAAUCCCCAUUAGUCUUGGACACGAAUGCAAUUGGGUGUUGGGAUCCAUCUGUGGAUUAAAUUUUUCCAAGGAAAUGACAAUUAUGCUCUUACUGAUUCUCUCCACGGUAACCACCUAUAAUAUUAGAGCCAAAUAUUAGUCACAAUCUGGAUCUGCAGUCAGAUUGUGAAUAGCUGUGUGACGCAGAAGGUGAUUGUUUCACUAGAAGCACAGAUCUUUCCUUUGCAUUUAUAUAAAGAUCCCCAACAAUUAGACAUACUUUCAGACUUACAUUAACCAUGUAUAUGCAGUUCAAAUUCACAAUGGUAAAACAUCAAACGCUCCUGGCAUUUGUAUCCACUGGAUAUUAAAAACCACUUUCUAAUCUUCAAAGUAAUCAUCAUUAGCAAUAAAUAGUAAAUAAAUCAUUGUCAGAUUGCCCGGAAAUGUAGACAGGCUGAGUUUGCAAUCUGCUGCUAUGAGAACAAGCCACUUACUGUGGUAUUUUAAGGCACUGUAUGUAAUCUUAUUUAUUGGAAAACAGUUUUGGCCUUUAGUUUCACUUACUGCAUUGAUAAUAUUUAAUCUUCAUAUUUUUAAAUUCAGUGAACGUAUUUGUUGAAAUAACUACGUUGUACUUUGGCUAUAUGCUAGGUGAGAUGAAAGACAGAAGUGUCCUAGCGGGAGUAAUUCCUCUUCUUAAGAGUUCAAAAUGUCUAACUGAGAAGAUGAACAAGGCAGAAGUGAAACAUUUAAAUGAUUAAACAACAAUAUAAGGCAGCUUAUGAUUAUGCACUAAAAUGGAUCAAGCAACAAAUAAAACGAUAAUCUUAGAUUUUGAAGAAUGGAAUGAAGCAGGGUAAGACUUUGUAAUGGAAGAUUUAAUACAUAUGACAUAUUACUAUGUGUAGUGGUAUUAAGGAUGCUGAGAACACGUCAGAAGAUAGGAGUGGCUCCUCAUUCAGUUAAUUUCUUAAAUGCCUGCUAUGCCCCAGACCUUUCUAUAUACAGGUAAUCAAGCAUAUGAAUUAUAAGUUGUUUCUAAGAAUAAAUGUCAGUUACAUGGAAAUGAAUGAAAGGAACAGUAUGUUUUAGUAUAACUUUUGAUGAUUACUCAAUAUGAUUAUAAUAAACAUAAGCUAUUUCAUUUUUUACCUGCAAUACAGUAGGCCUAUCAGGUUACAGUAGAGCCUUUUCUCCUGCAUUAAAUGACCCUAGACUAAGCUUAUUUAAGCCCUUCUGCUUGUUUUCCCUUCUCCAUCAAUGUGAGCCUUCCGUUCUCAUUUUUGCUUCUGAUAAUGUGCCUUGAAUCUGUCAGACUGUCACCAUGCUCUGCCUAAUUUGUUGAUUCUAAUCUGUGCUGGGCUGAUAAAUUAUGUAACCAAGGUUGCUAAAGUAAUGUACAAGCAAAUAUGAUUUAACAUAUCUAAAGAUGCAUUUUUGAAAUAGUAUGAGCAGAUGCUGAAUUUGGAGUUACCUUCGCUUGGUCAACCUCCUUUUUGGGUAAAAAAGCUUCAGGAUUUGGAUUUAUGGCAUCUAUUUUGCUUCUCAGAGCAUUUAAAUGGCUUAGUCUUUGUAUUUGCUGUUAUAAAUAGCUGAGGAAAACUUCUGAGUAAGUGAGAUACCCGCGUGUUUGCAACUAUCCAUAUGUUUAUAUGUACACAUAAAAUCAUGUACUGAUGUAUUGAGAAAAUAUUUCAGUGCUUACUUUAUCCGUUUAUUAUUAUGACCUUUAUUUUCCAUCAAAUAUGUUAAAACCAAAAUCAAUAAGUGGGGCUGUUCUUUAAGAAGCUCACACUUCCAGAGCCUCCAUGUUAUUAUUUAGUAAAUUACCUAUUCUGUCAUGCUCUGGAAGACUUCAUUUAUCUCACAUGAGUGAGACAAUUACACUCUGAAAAUACCAUAUUCAUUUUAGGGCCAGACCCUACAUUACUAUGUUUCUUGAUUCAGUGAUUACAAUGAUCAUUUCAUCUGUGUUUUCUGGGAUACAUUAGGUCUCCCAAAGGUAAUGAGUUUACAGCCUCGGUUUACCCUCUAUAACCACGGAUGGCAGUUCCUUAGAUCAGGUAGCCUUGCCGUAAGUGCACGUCAUUGGUUAGAAGAGGUGCCAGCUGAGAAAACAUCAAUCAUUAUGCACAGACUCAUCACUGCCACUGGGGAAAGGCAAGCCUUAUAACUGGAAGGGUGUAGUAUCAUCAUUUAAUCAUAGUAAUCAAGCAGUAAUAAGAAGACUAAUAAUAAGCUAGCCUCUACGGAGGGUUUUCCAGGAAACAAACACUGCUUUUGUGCUUUACAGGAUGUGCUAUUCUGAUGUUCUGUAUUGCACGUACAUUUGCAUGGGAAAAUAAUGAAGAGAGGGAAGAUAGGAAGGAAGGAGGAAGUAGAGGAGACUAGAAAAUAUUCAUUAGAAACUAUUGGUUCUAAAGGAGACACAAACACGUUCAGUAGCCACUAGGGAAAGUGAGACUGCCACCAGCAUCCAUAGUCACCCUCUACAGCACAGUAAGAAAUGCUUUCCAGUGAGAGGUGCCACCAUUAGCAAACUGAAUCUCAUGUUUAAAACACCUGUAAGAAUGUCUCUUUGCUUUAGUAAUACAUCUUUGGAAGAUCAUGAGAGUCAUGCAACUUGACUUUUUCCAGAACUUAUAAAAACAAAACAAAAAAUUAAAACAAACAACACAAACUUCAGACAGCCAAAACUAAUCACUAUUGUAGAUAUUUAUGGAAUAUGCCACAAGCUACGAGGAAAAUGCAAAACAUAUUUUCAGUAACGUCAACAACACUG